rnacentral:rRNA from 1 species
AGGGUUUGAUUCUGGCUCAGGAUGAACGCUGGCGGCGUGCCUAACACAUGCAAGUCGAGCGAUCUUCUUCGGAAGAGAGCGGCGGACGGGUGAGUAACGCGUGGGUAACCUGCCCUGUACACACGGAUAACAUACCGAAAGGUAUGCUAAUACGGGAUAAUAUGCUUUUAUCGCAUGGUAGAAGUAUCAAAGCUCCGGCGGUACAGGAUGGACCCGCGUCUGAUUAGCUAGUUGGUAAGGUAAUGGCUUACCAAGGCGACGAUCAGUAGCCGACCUGAGAGGGUGAUCGGCCACAUUGGAACUGAGACACGGUCCAA